UAACUGUCGUAACUUUUAGCAAAUUGUUUUACCAAAGAUUUUUUGAUGGCGGAUCUAAGGACUAAUUUUUAAUGUGGUUGAGCAAUGCAUUAUAAUAAGUUGGAAAUGUGUAUGGAGAAUAAUGUACCAUAGACGAAUCAUAUUACUCAACCACGACUUCUUACUGCGAUUAUGGUUGCUGUGGUACUGCUUAUAACAGUGACAGAAAAUGUUGUGAAGAUUCGCAUGCGAGUGUUGGUGUGUACGUAGGCGGUGGUGUAGGAGGAUUUAUUUCCUUCUUGUUCGUCGUGUGUUGUAUCUAUUACUGCUGCUGCCGGGCGGAUAAUAUGGUCCAUGUUAUUUAACAGAUACAAAUGGAACCAACAACGGGAAUACCAACAAUUUCUUAUUAUACAGAAUGACUUUCUUCCAUAGCUCAAUACAAUUAUUACGUUUUGUUGUGUUCAUUAUUUGCAUUGAUAAAAUAAAAUAUAUGAAAAUA